GACGAACGCUGGCGGCGUGCUUAACACAUGCAAGUCGAACGGAAAGGCCCCUUUGGGGGUACUCGAGUGGCGAACGGGGGAGUAACACGUGAGUAACCUGCCCUUGUCUUCGGGAGAACUUCAGGAAACUGGGGCCAAUACCGGAUAGGAAUCCUUGCUGCAUGGGGGGGGGUGGGAAGCUUCGGCGGUUUUGGAUGGACUCGCGGCUUAUCAGCUUGUUGGUGGGGUAGUGGCUUACCAAGGCUUUGACGGGUAGCCGGCCUGAGAGGGCGACCGGCCACAUUGGGACUGAGAUACGGCCCAGACUCCUACGGGAGGCAGCAGUGGGGAAUAUUGCACAAUGGGCGGAAGCCUGAUGCAGCAACGCCGCGUGCGGGAUGACGGCCUUCGGGUUGUAAACCGCUUUCAGCAGGGGCGAAGCUUGUGGUGACGGUACCUGCAGAAGAAGCACCGGCUAACUACGUG
rnacentral:rRNA from 1 species